GACGAACGCUGGCGGCGUGCUUAACACAUGCAAGUCGAACGGAAAGGCCCUGCUUUUGUGGGGUGCUCGAGUGGCGAACGGGUGAGUAACACGUGAGUAACCUGCCCUUGACUUUGGGAUAACUUCAGGAAACUGGGGCUAAUACCGGAUAGGAGCUCCUGCUGCAUGGUGGGGGUUGGAAAGUUUCGGCGGUUGGGGAUGGACUCGCGGCUUAUCAGCUUGUUGGUGGGGUAGUGGCUUACCAAGGCUUUGACGGGUAGCCGCCCUGAGAGGGUGACCGGCCACAUUGGGACUGAGAUACGGCCAGACUCCUACGGGAGGCAGCAGUGGGGAAUAUUGCACAAUGGGCGGAAGCCUGAUGCAGCAACGCCGCGUGCGGGAUGACGGCCUUCGGGUUGUAAACCGCUUUCGCCUGUGACGAAGCGUGAGUGACGGUAAUGGGUAAAGAAGCACCGGCUAACUACGUG
rnacentral:rRNA from 1 species